UACGUAGGGUGCAAGCGUUGUCCGGAAUUAUUGGGCGUAAAGAGCUCGUAGGCGGUCUGUCGCGUCGGCUGUGAAAACCCGGAGCUCAACUCCUGGCCUGCAGUCGAUACGGGCAAACUGGAGUGUUGCAGGGGAGACUGGAAUUCCUGGUGUAGCGGUGAAAUGCGCAGAUAUCAGGAGGAACACCGGUGGCGAAGGCGGGUCUCUGGGCAACAACUGACGCUGAGGAGCGAAAGCGUGGGGAGCGAACAGG
rnacentral:rRNA from 1 species